GCCGCCAUUUCCUGUCGGAUCCGGAUUGGUGUAUCCAUUUAAUUCAAGAAAAUGGAGACCGAGCAGCCAGAAGAAACCUUCCCCAACACCGAAACCAAUGGUGAAUUUGGUAAGCGCCCUGCAGAGGACAUGGAAGAGGAGCAAGCCUUUAAAAGAUCUAGAAACACCGAGGAGAUGGUGGAACUGCGCAUUUUGCUUCAGAGCAAGAAUGCUGGGGCAGUGAUAGGAAAAGGAGGCAAGAAUAUUAAGGCACUCCGUACAGACUACAAUGCCAGUGUUUCAGUCCCAGACAGCAGUGGCCCCGAGCGCAUACUGAGUAUCAGUGCUGAUAUUGAAACGAUUGGAGAGAUUCUGAAGAAAAUCAUCCCUACCUUGGAAGAGGGCCUGCAGUUGCCAUCACCCACUGCAACCAGCCAGCUCCCGCUCGAAUCUGAUGCUGUGGAAUGCUUAAAUUACCAACACUAUAAAGGAAGUGACUUUGACUGCGAGUUGAGACUGUUGAUUCAUCAAAGUCUGGCAGGAGGAAUUAUUGGUGUCAAAGGUGCUAAAAUUAAAGAACUUCGAGAGAACACUCAGACAACAAUCAAGCUUUUCCAGGAAUGCUGUCCUCACUCUACUGACAGAGUUGUUCUUAUUGGAGGAAAGCCUGACAGGGUUGUAGAGUGCAUCAAGAUCAUCCUUGACCUUAUAUCUGAGUCUCCCAUUAAAGGACGUGCACAGCCUUAUGAUCCCAACUUUUAUGAUGAAACCUAUGACUAUGGUGGUUUCACAAUGAUGUUUGAUGACCGCCGUGGACGUCCUGUGGGAUUUCCCAUGCGAGGAAGAGGUGGUUUUGACAGAAUGCCUCCUGGUCGGGCUGGGCGCCCCAUGCCUCCUGCUAGAAGAGAUUAUGACGAUAUGAGCCCUCGUCGAGGACCUCCACCACCACCUCCUGGUCGAGGUGGCCGGGGUGGCAGCAGAGCUCGGAAUCUUCCUCUUCCUCCUCCUCCACCACCCAGAGGAGGAGAUCUAAUGGCUUACGACAGAAGAGGAAGGCCUGGGGACCGCUAUGAUGGCAUGGUUGGGUUCAGUGCUGAUGAAACUUGGGACUCUGCAAUUGACACAUGGAGCCCGUCAGAAUGGCAGAUGGCUUAUGAACCACAGGUUGGGUAUUAAUAGUAUUAUUCCUAUGCAGGGGGCCGUGGCUCAUAUGGUGAUCUUGGUGGACCUAUUAUUACUACACAAGUAACUAUUCCCAAAGAUUUGGCUGGAUCUAUUAUUGGCAAAGGCGGUCAGCGGAUCAAACAAAUCCGUCAUGAGUCGGGAGCAUCAAUCAAAAUUGAUGAGCCUUUAGAAGGAUCUGAAGAUCGGAUCAUUACCAUUACAGGAACACAGGACCAGAUACAGAAUGCACAGUAUUUGCUGCAGAACAGUGUGAAGCAGUAUGCAGAUGUUGAAGGAUUCUAAUGCAAGAUAUUUUUUCUUUUUUAUAGUGUGAAGCAGUAUUCUGGAAAGUUUUUCUAAGACUAGUGAAGAACUGAAGGAGUCCUGCAUCUUUUUUUUUUUAUCUGCUUCUGUUUAAAAAGCCAACAUUCCUCUGCUUCAUAGGUGUUCUGCAUUUGAGGUGUAGUGAAAUCUUUGCUGUUCACCAGAUGUAAUGUUUUAGUUCCUUACAAACAGGGUUGGGGGGAGGGCAUGCAAAAACUAACAUUGAAAUUUUGAAACAGCAGCAGAGUGAGUGAAUUUUAUUUUUUGUUCAUUGUUGGUGGUUUUAAAAAUUACCCCCGUGUAAUUAUUGUGAACCCUUGCUUUGUGGUCACUGUAACAUUGGGGGUGGGACAGGGAGGAAAGUAAUAGUCCACGUGUCCCUGGCAUUUGUUCAGAGCAGUGUGCAGAAUGUAACGCUCUUUUGUAAGAAACGUUUUAUGAUUUUUAAAAUAAAUUUAGUGAAUCUAUUUUUGGUGGUCUUUUUUUUUUUUUUUUUUUUUUUAAAGACAAUUUUCAAAUGGUGGUUUGAGUUUUCCAGCCCACCCCUAAACUAAACACUAAGUUUGAUUUUCAGCUCCUCUGUUGGAUAUGAGUGCACCUCUUGGACAUAGGCAAAACACAUGGGCAAUUUAAGUUUGGGUGGUUUCUUCAUGGUUGGAAAGAUGUGGCUUGAUAAAUUUCCAUCACAUAGUCAUGCUUAUAAUAAGCUUGGGAUUUUGUUUUUGCAAAUGUUUGCCACUACUUUUCAACAGUUUUCUAUGUUAGUUGUGGAGAACUAAGGUGGGGAGCAAUAUUAGAAGUUAACCAUCUUAAGUAUAUGCCAGAAUCCUGAUGGGCAAUGAGCUUUAUUAAUCAGAAUAACACUUGGUUAUGGAAGUGGCUGAUGCUGAGUAAAUCCUGGUUAUUUUUGUUAGAUAACCUCUCACCUAUAGACAAACUGUCAACCUGCUAGUGUCUUGUUAGUUGAACUUUGUAAAAAUAUAUAUAUACUUGUUUUACCAUUGUAUGCACAAUGAAAGAAAAAAAGAUGUACCAUUUCUCUGUUGUGUGUUGAAUUAUGUAGGAAAUGUUUGUGAACGAUUCAAAAAAAUGGAAAAAAAGUUCCUGUGGCUGUUUUGUGUAGUAAUUUGGCAUCUGUAUUGAUAGUUAAAAAUACGCAUCUAAAUAAAACUUCCAUGAUGUUA